CUCUCAGUUUCCUGCUAUUCUCUGUUCUUUGGAGAUGGAUUUCCCGGGGCGGGGAAGUCUCAAGAGUAAUACACUGAGAUGGAUUUGGGAGUACAAGGUGUUUAUUGGUUGUGGACAUUUGUGCAAGGCACAGGACUGGGCAGAGGGAGAAGGUGAACCUCAAUACAGAACAACCUGGCAAAGUGCUCUAGAGCUAUCUGUCCAACAGCAAGGUCUUCCAUGAGGCUACAGUGAAGAUCCUUUAUGUCACUGCCUUGCUCAGUACUAAUGAAUAGAAGGCUAUGAUUCCAGGCAAAGUGGUUUUCUAUAGCUUGGGCUGACCCUGGAGGAGCUGACAGCUGGAGAUGACCUGCUGACCGUACUCCUUUCUUGCAGGGGAUCUGGGCUGUGGGUUCCUGCAUCUGUCACAAUGAGCGGGCACAUAACUCUUAUAGAAGAGCAUGGAAAGGACAUCAAAAGGGAGGUGACACCAAAUCCUAAAGGAUUUUUCCUAAAGGAGGAGGGCAAGGGGCAUUUAGAGCUGAGAGUUAAAAUCAGGAAAGAAAAAAAAAGGGUUAGGAAUUCCAACGGUGGGAGAAAGACAGGAAGCAAACUCAAGGAAUGGCUGCACUGGCAUCUCAUCUCCAUGGACUUUCUGUAACCAUCAUAGUUCCUGGCAAGAUAAAGGCUUGUCUUUCCCAUCAUAACCCCUCCUCACUGAGGGGAUCUCCAUCAGGGUCUCCUAAGUGCUCCCUAGAAAUUUUCUGUAAUACACAACUUAGGCUAAAAACUGGACCUAAAAAUGCAGUAAGUUGGGCAAACAGAGGAGCAAAUCUGUUCUGUAACUUUCUUGGCAAAGAGGGUGCACUAGGAACAUGGGACCCUGAGUUAGGAGACAUUAAGAAGUCUGCGAUCGGCAUCAAGUAGGACUCUGCAAAUAAUUGAAUCUCCAUCAAUAUUCAAGCUCAGGGCUCUGGUAUGUGAGAGAGUGAGGAAAAAUGGGGAGCAAGGGGGAGCAUGACCAGCCCUGCUGCGCCAGGGGCCGUGGCGAAACUAGGGGCAUUUCAUUUAUUCAUGCAUCUGCACGUCCUGCCCCCCCAUUUGUGCAUCCAUCCAACCAUCCAUCUAUUCCCUUGUACAUUAAAUAUUCACAUGAAAGAAAGUGUUUGACUUCCCUCUCACUUCCUUCUUUUUCCUGUCAAAACCCUUUGCAGAGAAGAGAUCAUUAGUAAGACAGAGUAAAGACAUAAAGUUUGUGUCAGCACAAAAAUGCAUCAAAGGGUUAUUAAGAAAGCUGGUCGGUGUCAGGAAGAGAAGUGCUGAUUUAGCUUGUUGAUGUUACACUCUGAAGACUUGAAAAGGCCUUAGAGCUUGACAGACUUAAUGCCGCCCCUUUGGGUUGAAGCUAAGAUUCCAGGCAGGGGAGGGGGAAGUACAGGUGGGAAAUGGGUAUCGGGGGAAAAAAAAAAAAACAAGGGGAAGGCAAGGGAGGAAGAAAGGCCCUAAAUGCCAAAUGUCUGUGUGAACUAGACUCUGGCGUGGGAGAUGGUGACAUGGGAAAAUAAAUAUUCCCAUCAUGUUUAUGUACACCCAGCCAUGGAAGGGAUUUUCACUGUGAUGAUGAGAAAUAUCCACCAGCUCAUCCAGACGUGUUGUUCAAACUAUAACCAAGCUUGCCUAGGCACUGGAGACACCAGCAUGGAUUGAGACCCAGUACCUGCAAUGGAUCACUCAUAUCCUGAGAGAGGUGACAGAUAAACCCAGAAGCAUAAUGAAGGACAGCUUGGUACUUCUCCCAGGUGUGGACUUUCAAGAAGACUUCCCAGAGGAGCAUAAAUUAAGACAGUGAAGCAGGAAUUUACUGGCAUUUACUUAAGAGAAAUGAAGGCACUUCCUUCAUGAAUUUUGGAGAAAGUUUGGCCUGACUUACAAGGAAACCCCUUAAUUGUCCCUUAAAAGUAGAAUGGCGUCAUUGUGGAUAAGACAUGGGGUUCAAAUAGCUCCCUGGGGGCUGGACUCUUGGAAACUCAGUAGGAUUUUAAUUUGGUACAUAAAAUCGUGAUUCUGCCAUGAUUGAUGGUGUCUUAGAUCCAGUCACAUGUGGAAUGCCGAGCACCUGUGCUGAGCCGGAUUCUGUGUCAAGUCCUCCAAUAGAUCACUCAGGAUUCCAAGUGAUAAUAACUCUUUAAGAAAACUGGAGACCCAGUUCUCUACAAAGCAAAACCAUGGCCCUUCACAGCUCCAGAGUGCAGCAUCUUAGAAUGUUGGUAUAUAAGACAGGUUGAUGAAACCUUUUCUAACCCAGACCUUAAAAUCCCGGAGAAAGGACUGAUUGGUUCAGGUACCCAUCCUGCUCUCUUCUGGGCUGGGGCAUCAGGUGGAGUCACACAGAAUGAAGCUGGCAAGUCCCACAGUGACUAGGACCUGAGGGACCCAGGGGGCAAGUCCCAGAAAACAGCAGUGGUAGGCAAAACAUCCCUAAAUGUCUGUUCUACAAAGUUAUUGGAGAUGUGCAGAAAUCAUACUUAUAGCAUACCAGAAAAGAAGGGCAAAAUUAUUUGCAGCUGGAGAGAUUGGUGGGAAAUGGAACCAAGAAUGAUCUUGAAGGAUGGCUAUGAGAAGUGUUGGGGGGGGGCUUUUUCUGAGUGGGGAAGCAGCAUGACAAAUAUCUGGUCUCUCUGGGAGCAACCUAUAUAAUAACAUGAAUGCAUAACUGUAAAUUAAAAUUAGCGACAUGGGAGAAAAUACAUAUGAAGAUAUGAAGGAGACUUGAUCUUGAGGAAUGAGGGAUAGUUUCCUUGAAAAUGUGAUAUUCGAGCUGUGAGCAGAAGGAUGAGGAGGAGGACAAAGUGGAGAUCAGCGAUGCUGAAGGGAACAACUCCAGGCAGAAGCAAAACAUAUGCCCAAGAUCCUGCAGUGGGAGGACGCUGGCAAGUUUGUGGAACUAGAUGGACCAGCUGCUCCUGAUCUUUUUUUGGGUCUCAGCUGAGACCUACGAGAGCCCUUGAUGCUACCCUGAUCAGAUCACUUAGAUGCUUAAAACUCUUCAGGUACUCCCUAGCACCUGGAAUAGCACUUCGCAGCCGCAUCAGGGCACAAAUGGCUUAUGGGAUGAUUGAGAUCCUGAUCCCUACUCUUCUGGACCAAGCAUCCUCUGUUUACUGCAGUGUGCCGUACAAAACCAAAAUACGAUCAUUUCAUGUGUGCUACAAUGAGACAAAAGCUGGAAAGUACUGAAGAGAAUAACAUGAAAAUAUCUAGCUUACAACUCAGGUCUCUUCCCUAAUUUUCCUGCUGGACACAUCCAUCACCAUCUCCCAAUUCACCCCCCAGAUAUAAGAGAAGCAUAUGAGGUUCAACGGCGAGCUAGGACAAUGGAAUUCACUUGCAGCCUCCUUACUUGCUUUCAGACUAGAAUUUUUAGGGCCCUCUGUGAGUAGCCUCUUCUUUAUGCACCCACUUUCUCUUCUUUAUGCACAUGAGCCCUAACACAAUUCUUUAACACUGUCUCCCAGCACUCCUUCCACAUUGCCCCAUCCAGCAAAAUUGUCCCACACUUUUGUGCCCUUGUACUGUCCCCCUCUUCCUGGAUUGUCCUAAUCUGAAUCCCUGGGAGUCCUAGUGCUGAGCUAUAUGAAUAAACAUUGUGGAAAAGUAAUUAAA